ACAUGUACAUGCCUACAACAUUAAUGCAUUGAAUACCAUUAGAACUCUUUAGUUAAGUGUGUUUGGGCUAGAGUAGCAUUGGUAUGGGUGACCUCCCAAGAAUUCCUAGUGUUUUACAUGUC
rfam:Picea glauca, whole genome shotgun sequence.